rnacentral:rRNA from 1 species
CACGAAGGGGCUAGCGUUGCUCGGAAUCACUGGGCGUAAAGGGUGCGUAGGCGGGUCUUUAAGUCAGGGGUGAAUCCUGGAGCUCAACUCCAGAACUGCCUUUGAUACUGGCGAUCUUGAGUCCGGGAGAGGUGAGUGGAACUGCGAGUGUAGAGGUGAAAUGCGCAGAUAUCAGGAGGAACACCAAUAGCGAAGGCAGCUCGCUGGGACGUUACUGACACUGAGGCGCGAAAGCGUGGGGAGCGA